rnacentral:rRNA from 1 species
CAUUUAGGCCUGCGCAGCGAUGCGCGGGUUUUUCUACACCAUUGGUUACUUAGCUAAUUUGUUUUGGAGGUAAAACUCCAAAAGUUAAACAAGAAUAAUUUUUUUAAAACACACGUCACCACAACUACUAAAUAUCA